rnacentral:rRNA from 1 species
UAACGCGUAGGUAUCUGUCUCCGGGUGGGGGAUAACCAUGGGAAACUAUGGCUAAUACCGCAUGAUGCCCGAGGGCCAAAGGCGCCGGGGAAACCUGGCAUCGCCUGGAGAGGAGCCUGCGUACGAUUAGCUUGUUGGCGGGGUAAUGGCCCACCAAGGCGACGAUCGUUAGCUGGUCUGAGAGGAUGAUCAGCCACACUGGGACUGAGACACGGCCCAG